rnacentral:lncRNA from 1 species
ACAUAAUCAAUUAAUCAUUUAUAAAAUUAAAUAAAUGAAAAAAAAUUACAAAACCCAUAAAAUUCAUAAAUCUUCAUCUUCUACACAAGCCGAGAAAAUCAUCUUCAACAUCCACAAACUCAUCUUCAAACAAACCCAAAAAAUCAUCUUCAACCACAAACAAAGCACUCUGGUUGAAUUGAACAACAAUGAUUUCAUCCAAACCUAAUGAAUAAAAUCAUAAACAACAAUAAUAACAUAAACACAAAACCAAAUCGGAACAAAUAUAAAAAACGGAACAAUAGCAGCUAAAACAUGUUGACUCCCACAAGCUACAGUCCCAACCUUAAUCUGCAUAACUUCACUAGAGCAAGCAUAAGAAACCCACACCCUAAAACAGAUCCAAUCCUAGAAACAAGCAUCCCAACUCUCAAAGAGUAUUGAACAGCGACGACGAGGUUUUCGACGAUGUCGGUGGUGGGGAUGCAAGACGGGUUUGUGUUGAGAGUGUUGAAGGGGUCGUUUGGGUUGAAGGAAAGGUCGAUGAAUAUGCUGAGAGUGAAGAGGGAGUUUACGUUUGUGAUUAUGGCUUUUAUGUGCACAUGAUAUUCCCUCUUCUUCUUCAACCCCUCGUCUUAAUUCAUUCGUUGUCUUUCCAUUAACACGUUAAUUUUUCAAUCCUUAAUUAAACCAAUGGGUGCAGCUUCAAUGAUUUGUGAUUUGGUUGUGGGUUUGCAGCAGUUUCUGAUGCCUAGUUUAAUGAGGAAAGAAGGAUUGGGAGAGAAUAAGGGUGUGAUAUGUUUUGAGUUUGAUAGAGGAUGAAGUAGAGAGAGGAAUUUAAGUGUUUGAUUUGUAAGGGCUU